rnacentral:rRNA from 1 species
CCUACGGGUGGCUGCAGUGGGGAAUUUUGGACAAUGGGGGCAACCCUGAUCCAGCCAUGCCGCGUGCGGGAAGAAGGCCUUCGGGUUGUAAACCGCUUUUGUCAGGAGAGAAAUCUCUUGGGCUAAUACCCUGAGAGGAUGACGGUACCUGAAGAAUAAGCACCGGCUAACUACGUGCCAGCAGCCGCGGUAAUACGUAGGGUGUAAGCGUUAAUCGGAAUUAGUGGGCGUGAAGCUGGAGGACGCGUGUGAAAUCCCCGGGCUUAACCUGGGAACUGAACUUGUGACUGCACGGCUAGAGUACGGCAGAGGGUGAUGGAAUUCCGCGUGUAGCAGUGAAAUGCGUAGAUAGGCGGAGGAACACCGAUGGCGAAGGCAGUCCCCUGGGCCUGUACUGACGCUCAUGCACGAAAGCGUGGGGAGCAAACAGGAUUAGAUACCCGAGUAGUC